UACGAAGGGUGCAAGCGUUAAUCGGAAUUACUGGGCGUAAAGCGCGCGUAGGUGGUUCAGUAAGUUGGAUGUGAAAUCCCCGGGCUCAACCUGGGAACUGCAUCCAAAACUGCUGAGCUAGAGUACGGUAGAGGGUGGUGGAAUUUCCUGUGUAGCGGUGAAAUGCGUAGAUAUAGGAAGGAACACCAGUGGCGAAGGCGACCACCUGGACUGAUACUGACGCUGAGGUGCGAAAGCGUGGGGAGCAAACAGG
rnacentral:rRNA from 1 species